rnacentral:rRNA from 1 species
CGACCGGCGCACGGGUGAGUAACGCGUAUGCAACCUACCUUUUACAGGGGAAUAGCCCAGAGAAAUUUGGAUUAAUACCCCAUGGUUCCAUUUANUCACAUGGUUUAAUGGAUAAAGUUUCGGCGGUAGAAGAUGGGCAUGCGUGACAUUAGCUAGUCGGUAAGGUAACGGCUUACCAAGGCGACGAUGUCUAGGGGUUCUGAGAGGAUUAUCCCCCACACUGGUACUGAGACACGGACCAGACUCCUACGGGAGGCAGCAGUGAGGAAUAUUGGUCAAUGGGCGAGAGCCUGAACCAGCCAUCCCGCGUGCAGGAUGACGGCCCUAUGGGUUGUAAACUGCUUUUAUAUACCAAGAAACCUAUCUACGUGUAGAUAGCUGACGGUAGUAUAUGAAUAAGCAUCGGCUAACUCCGUGCCAGCAGCCGCGGUAAUACGGAGGAUGCAAGCGUUAUCCGGAUUCAUUGGGUUUAGAGGGUGCGUAGGCGGUCUUUUAAGUCAGUGGUGAAAUCCUGCAGCUUAACUGUAGAACUGCCAUUGAAACUGAAGGACUUGAGUACACUGGAGGUAAGCGGAAUGUGUAG